rnacentral:rRNA from 1 species
GACGAACGCUGGCGGCGUGCUUAACACAUGCAAGUCGAACGGUAAGGCCCCUUCGGGGGUACACGAGUGGCGAACGGGUGAGUAACACGUGAGCAACCUGCCCUUGACUUUGGGAUACCAGCUGGAAACAGCUGCUAAUACCGGAAAUGACCUCUUCUCCCAUGGGUUGAGGUGGAAAGCUCCGGCGGUCAGGGAUGGGCUCGCGGCCUAUCAGCUUGUUGGUGAGGUAAUGGCUCACCAAGGCUUCGGCGGGUAGCCGGCCUGAGAGGGCGACCGGCCACACUGGGACUGAGCUACGGCCCAGACUCCUACGGGAGGCAGCAGUGGGGAAUAUUGCACGAUGGGCGCAAGCCUGAUGCAGCAACGCCGCGUGCGGGAUGACGGCCUUCGGGUUGUAGACCGCUUUCAGUAGGGACGAAGCUAACGUGACGGUACCUACAGAAGAAGGACCGGCUAACUACGUG